UACGGAGUAGGUUAUGCAAGUGUGAAAUACAGAGUAAGUGAGAUCUUCUUCAACCUAAUUUCAGUUUUCUGGCGGAAAAACUUGGAUAGAAUCAGCAAGUUUGGUUGGGAAACGUGAAUAUUAGAUUGAAAUCUCGUUUCCCAUUCGUUUCCGGGAUGAAUUCAGUUUCAAACACGUCUCCAUUUUUCUGAAACGGUUUCGGAAACGCGUUUCCCGGUUUCCCCGUUCCAGGACGUUUCGGAAACGUUGUAUGUUAAAUGGCAAAGCAAACUCCAACCCUGUUUCUUGAAGACUGGCUUAGGAGCAGUACCAGCAGCAGCAAUGUCAGCAAUAACAGCUCCAAAAACUCUGCUAAUUCAUCCGCUCAAAUGAUAAUUCAGGCGUGGGUUGACCUCAGGGAAUGUCACCAGAAGGGUGCAUUUCAUCCUCGUCACCUACAUUCUCUUAAAGCUCUUGUUAAUUCACAAGCCUCAUUAUAUGUUGCUGAUCCACAAGCAAAACUUCUCCUAUCUAUUCUCUCAUCUCCUAAUAUUUCUCUUCCUCAUGAUUCACCGCCUCUUAUUUUCAGACUUCUUUAUGUAUGGGUAAGAAAAUCAUCCAAACCCUCGUUAGCACUGAUUGAUUUGGCCAUGGAGGUUAUUGCACACAUUUUUUCUGACCAGUUUGAUGCUAAGAAAAGCAAGUCAUUAUUUGCGGAAGGUGUUCUUCUUGUUGGUGCUUUCUGUUCUGUCCCUUCUAUCGCAGAAAACACCAAAACAGUCUGCUUGAAGCUUGUUUGUAGAAUGUUGGAGGAACAAUACCAGUUGAUUGGCUCAGUUGGUAAACUCAUUCCCGAUGUUCUUGCAGGGAUAGGAUAUGCUUUAUCCUCUUCUGGAGAAGUUUAUUUUGUUAGGCUGUUAAACUUUCUGCUAGGGAAUUGGGUUAAAAUAGAGGUACCCCAUGAUAUUUCUCAUGCAUUGGUUAUUUUGCAUUUGAUAGAGUGGGUUGUGUUCAGAUUAAUUACUUCUAGCUCUUUGGAGAAAAUUAAGAUAUUUAGCUGUGAAGUAAUGGAAAAUCCCAAAACAAACUAUGCUAAAUAUGCUGUCCUCAUGGCCACAGCUGGAGCUCUAAGAGCAUCUAAUAGACCUGUGAAGCAUGGAGAGCGGCUCAAUAUUGUUACUAGGUUCCGUAUUGCAGCAGAGGCUCAAAUUGAAGUUAUAGCAUCAGACCUGAUUUCAAAAAUAGCUACAAGUAGUAACAUUAUUAUUGAAGAUGCUGAAGUCAGUUUUAUUCUUCGUUGCCUCUUGUUGGCUGCAUCUCGAAGUGGGGGGUUGAUUUCCUCAAGGGGACCAUUGCUAUUAUCACUUGCUUUAGGCUUACUGAUUGAAGUCCUUCCCUUGAGAAGAUUUUAUGGCAUGAUCGUUGAAUCUCAAACUAGCGAUAAUGGGGUUUUGAUACCUGUCGACGUGAAGAAUCAUCUAGAAAGCAUUCUUUUCAGGGAAGCAGGGGCAGCAACUGGUGUUUUCUGCAAUCUUUAUGCAUCUGCUAGUGAAAAAGAUAAGUCUAGGGUUGAGGAUCUAAUUUGGAGUUACUGUCAUGACAUCUACUCGGGACAUAGGCUAGUGGCCUUGCUGCUGCAAGGCAGGUCAGACCAAUUGCUUAAUGAUAUGGAGAAAAUAGCCGAAUCGGUUUUCCUGAUGGUUGCAGUCUUUGCAUUUGCCGUUACGAAACACAAAUUGACUUCAAAAUUCUCGAGGGAGAUGCAGAUGGAUUGUGCUGUUAAAAUUUUGAUCUCAUUCUCCUGCAUGGAGUAUUUCCGGCACAUUCAACUUCCUGAAUAUAUGGAAGCAAUAAGAAGUGCAGCCACAAGUGUACAAGAGAACGAGAUUGCAUGUGUCUCUUUUGUUGAAUCCUUGCCUUCUUAUGCUGACCUGACAAACCCUCAAGGAUUGUGUCAUCUGCAACGUGGGAACUAUAUAUGGUCCAAAGAUGAAGUACAGACGUCAAGGAUCUGGUUCUACCUGCGGGUUAUUCCAACUUGCAUCAGCCAUUUGCCUACUAAUGAGUUCCAGAAAGUGGUUGCUGCCACAAUGUUUUUAUAUAUGGGUCAUCCGGAUAACAAAGUAGCACGGGCCUCACAUUUAGUGUUCUCGUCUUUUGUAACUUUUGAAGAGGAAUCCUCUCAAAAGGAGAGGAUGUUGUUGAAGGAGCAGCUUGUUUUCUAUUACAUGAGGAGGUCCCUUGAGGCCUAUCCGGGAAUCACGCCAUUUGAUGGUCUUGGUUCUGGUGUUUCUGCCUUGGUUCGACAUCUUCCUGCUGGAAGCCCAUCCAUAUAUUACUGCAUACACAGUCUUGUUGAAAAGGCCAAUGUGCUGAGCAGAGAAGUCACGAAUCUUAAGGGUUCUGAAUGGUGGAAGAACUGGCAAGGAGACUCAGAACCCUGCCAGAAAAUCAUAGAGCUGCUUAUGCAACUGAUAUCUAUGGUGGACAUACAGGUGCUACCAGAAAUGAUGAAGCGGUUGGCGCAGCUAGUUAUCCAAUUACCAAAAGAUGGCCAGAAUGUGGUACUCAACGAGUUAUAUUCCCUUGUUGCAGAAUCGGAUGAUGUAACAAGAAAACCUGCAUUAGUUUCAUGGUUACAGUCGCUUUCUUACGUCUGUUCUCAGCCCACUGCUACAAACGAAGCAUGCAUAGAGGUUUCAAGAAGCCCCAAUUCACUAAGCUUGCAGAACGUUACUGCACGAUUAUGAUAGAUUAAGCCUCGGAACCAACAUAUCUCCUUGAAUGACCUUGCCAAGAAGUAUGGCUCUCUGAUCAUUUGGAAACUUGACCAAGUGCCAACUGUGAUAAUCUCUUCAUUUUCCAUGGAAAAAAAAGUCCUUCAAAAGUACGAUCUUCCCCUCAAAAGCACGGUCUUCUCUGCCAGUAACCUGCAUUCUAGCCAGAGACUUGGAAGAAGUAAGGUCAAAGAUCUUCUUUCUUGUGUUGAGAAUAACAGCAAAGAUGGUAUUGCAGUCAAGAUUGUUCAACCAGCGUUUCCACUUCCCUCAAUUUGUGAUUUUGCUAAUAAAUUACGAAAUACUAUAAGAGAGAUGUUGGAACUACCUUGCAGACUAUUUCAGGAUCCCGCAAAAGAUAGAUCCAGAAGGCGUCAGCUGGCGUACGAGUAGACUCUUUGGGGGAAGUGUGAUUGAUCAAUUCAAAAAAACAAAGGAAAUAGGGCUCAAUACAAGGCAAUGAUAUUUUAGCUGCAUUGCUGAGUUGCUGCACAAGUCGUGGGAAAAAUGAGGAAAUUAUUGAGCCUCCAAAAUCUUUUUUUUUUUUUUGGGUGUUAGCACCCGGUUCAUCCUUAGGGCUAAUUCGGAUUCGGGGCGAGUUCUGAGUGGAUAGGUUCCAAUUCCCUCCCAAUUGUUGUUGCGGGGGAUCGAACACGGUCCUCCCUACCAAGUUCAGCCUCAAUCACCACUGAACCAACAGACAAUUGGACUUAUUUGCUGCACGACUGACGUAUCGUCACCUACUCUUGAGUGCGCAAUGGCAGAACUAUUGCACAAACUAACAGAACUUCAACAAGUUAUUGGUAGAGGAAAUUGAGUUGAAGAACAUGACAUCCUUCAACUCCCAUAUACUUGCAAGCUGUGUCCAGAAAAGUUAAUACAGAAGUAAACCUCUUUGACUUUACUGUGUGUGCCAAAGAACGAUCAAGUAUUCAAGUGUAUGGGUUAUAACUUAUAACUAAGAUGAGCUCCAAGUUUGUGGGCGAAUCCCUCUUCCUUUGUCCCGGACAGUAUCAGACACUGAUUUAACGGCCGUGAUUUUGAGUAGAUUCAGUUUGUUGCCCGCUGUAGGAUUUGUGUUGAGUUAUCCUUGGACCUUGGUUAAUCUGACUGUGGAACGGAGGGAGUACACUUUGUAACUAAAAUAACUUUUGAUAAGUUCAGUUAAGUACAUACUUCGUAUAAGAUAAAUUCAGAAAAAGUAAGUAAAAAUCACGUGAA